rnacentral:rRNA from 1 species
GAUGAACGCUAGCGGCAGGCUUAAUACAUGCAAGUCGAGGGGCAGCAGGACUGUAGCAAUACAGUUGCUGGCGACCGGCACACGGGUGCGGAACACGUACGCAACCUACCCAAAACUGGGGGAUAGCCCGGGGAAACCCGGAUUAAUACCUCGUAACCUUUUUAAGUGGCAUCACUUGAUAAGUAUAGCUCCGGCGGUUUUGGAUGGGCGUGCGCCUGAUUAGGUAGUUGGUGCGGGUAACGGCCCACCAAGCCUGCGAUCAGUAACUGGUGUGAGAGCACGACCAGUCACACGGGCACUGAGACACGGGCCCGACUCCUACGGGAGGCAGCAGUAAGGAAUAUUGGUCAAUGGACGCAAGUCUGAACCAGCCAUGCCGCGUGAAGGAGGAAGGUCCUCUGGAUUGUAAACUUCUUUUAUGGGGGACGAAACCCGGAUAUUCUUAUCCGAUUGACGGUACCUCAGGAAUAAGCACCGGCUAACUCCGUG